rnacentral:rRNA from 1 species
GUCUUUUUGAAUAUAAUUUAAAGUCUAACCUGCCAAGUGAGUAUUUAACGGCCGCAGUAUUUUGACUGUGCGAAGGUAGCAUAAUCAAUAGUUUUUUAAUUAAAAACUGGAAUGAAAGGUUGGAUAAGAAAUUGACUGUCUUAAUUAUAAUUUUUUAGAACUUUAUUUUUAAGUUAAAAAGCUUAAAUGAUUUUUAAAGACGAGAAGACCCUAUAGAAUUUUAUAAUUAUAUUAUUAAGAUUUAUAAGAUUAGAUAUUUUUUAUUAAUUAAAUUAUUUGAUUGGGGUGAUUAUAAAAUUUAAUAAACUUUUAUUUAAAUUAUUCAAAAAUGUUUGUUUACUUGAUCCAUUUUUAUGAUUAAAAGAUUAAAUUACCUUAGGGAUAACAGCGUAAUUUUUUUUAAAAGUUCUUAUUGAAAAAAAAGAUUGCGACCUCGAUGUUGGAUUAAAAUUAGUUUUAGGUGUAGAAGUUUAAUAACUAAGUCUGUUCGACUUUUAAUUUUUUACAU